AUUUCAAAUAACAUAUUUGAUACAAUGGAAGGCAAAAAAAAUUGGUCGAAAAAUGAAGUAUUUAAAUUAAUCGCCCGAUAUAAACAUUAUAGAGAAUUAUGGGAUACUAAAUCUAUAGAGUAUAGAAAUACUCUUAAAAGAAGAAAUGCACAUAGUAAAUUAGCUGCUGAAUUUAAAACCACAAUUGCUGAAAUAGGUAGGAAGAUCCGCAUUCUACGAAGUCAAUUUUUUUAUGAAUACAAGAAAAUGUAUAAUGAUGAAGAUGAGUAUGAAUCCUCUUCACAGAGUGCAUACGUAACCAAGUGGAAGUACUAUGAACCUUUACAAUUUAUUCUUGUUUCAAAGGAAGAUAUGGUGGAUGGUUCUGAUCUCCUGGAUUAUAAUAAAGAUAUAUUUGAAGAUUCAAGCUCAAAAGUCAGUCAGGAUUCAAACAGUGACUCGGAAGAUGACAAUGAACCACAAAUCUUAAUUGUAAGUCAGAAAAGAAAAAGGUCUAAUUCAUCAACAGAUAGCAGCAACAACCAAUCGGACCCAAAUUUUCAAGUUGACAAUGAUGAAUUUCAGAUAUUUGGUAAUUAUGUGGCAAAUGAAUUAAGAGCAAUGCAUUAUGAGAAAAAUAAAAAAGAAUUGAAAAGAUUGAUUCAACAGCAUAUUAUAAGAUUGACAGAAGAAGAUGACCGAGAAUACUAUUCAAAUUGAAAAAAUCUUUAAUAAAAUUUAUAAA